UGCCCGAUGGUGUAAUUGGUAACACACGUGAUUCUGGUUCAUGCGUUGAGGGUUCAAGUCCUUCUCGGGCAG
rnacentral:tRNA from 2 species